rnacentral:lncRNA from 1 species
CGAUCUUCUCUGGUCGCGAAGAAGGAGGGUAACUCUGUCCUUAUCUUCGGUAUUAUAUGUGAUUGUUUGACUGUGUACUUGUGAGCAUCUGGUGUUAUCUGUGAAUACCUGACUUGACUGUAUUCUGUUUGUUGGUUGUUGUAUGUGGAUACCUCUUUUGGUUGUAUUCUGUUUGUUGAAAAAGUUGUUCAUUUAAGCCGGUUCAU